AAUGGGUUUUAAGUUCAAGUAUGGUAAUGCCCAAUCAUCCAUACAUGGCCAAUAAUAAGCAUAUUGCAUCAAUGCAUAUAGUUAUAAUUCAUUAUUCAUGAUGCAUGAUCACGACUACUUGCUACACGUGUGCCUUAAUUGCGUUUUAAUACGUGAUCGAAUACUUUUCUUAAAAUGUGCUAAUACAUGAUACAUGUUAUUGAACUUCUACUUUAUGAUUUAACGUGAAAUUAAGUGAUUUAUUGUAGUGAGAAGCUCAGUUCCUCGGUUAAGAAGGGAUCAAUGUGCUAACGGUGAUAUAGAUUGUCUUAAUUGUAUUUCUGCAUUUUAAUUACAUUUUUAAUAUGAUUAAUUACAUAUGUAAUUACUUGAAGUAACUCAUAUUAGACUAAAACCAGAAGUAUGCAAAAGGGUGCAAUUUGAUUGGUUGGUUGACUAGGUUGCACAAGAUCAUUCUCAAAUUAUUUACACUUGAUUAUAAUGAGUAAGCAUCAGCCCAUAUCUUAUCUCAAGCUAGAAAAACGUGGAGGAACCACAAGAAUCCAGCAAAUAUAAGGCUUCCAAUCAUCAUCCUCCAUUUGGCCUUGUUGGGAAUGGGUAGAUAAGUGAAGACUUUGUGUUUUGGUCUUCAUUUCACUUGUCUUCUUCCAAAAAACGACCAGACCUAUUUCUUUAAGCUUAUCUUCAGAUUUCUUCACUUCCAUACUCACAUAAGAGAACAUUAAACAUAAGAACUCACAAAAGUAGAGGUAGAACAAGUUUUGCACCUUUUCUAGCUGAAAAUCCUAUGUUUUGAAGUUUGAAUUCAUCUCUAAUCAAGGCUUCUAGCACACCUUAUCUAAGCUUGCUGAUCCUUUCACUUCAUAAACCAUAUUGAUUUUGAGUGAUAUGAAAGAAUAUGUUUUGAAAAUAGGAGUAUGGUACUUGAUUGAUGGUCGAGUAGGCAAGGGACGCGGGAGGAACCGGCGGACUCAACACAUGGUGGCAAAUACCUGAGGUCGAAAGACCAGUAUGGAAAACCCACAAUUAAGAAAUGAAAUACGGCUAAUACCUGAGGUCGAAAGGCCGGUAUGGAAACACCCGUAUUAUCUAUUGGCCAAAUAUGAUGAACAGGUUCCGAAAACCAAAGCCUAUUGCUAUCAGUCAAGUACCACACUUCAAGGGUACCCGAAAAAGAGAAGGAUUUCAAAGAAAAGGAUCAGGAAUGAAGUUAGAUGUGAUAUUGUACAUAUUGAAUGAAUAAUGUGUUAUGUGAUAUAUUGCUAUUACAUCAGUUUCAACUUGCUGAGCCAUUAGCUCAUUAGGUUCUUAUGAUGCAGGUAAUGAUGUACAUGUUUAGAAGUUGACCUAGCCAAGAGCGGCCAGUCACAUAUUUGUUCAUAUGCCAUGCUUCGAGCCAUUUUGUAGCCGAGCUAGAAACUCUGAUUUCAUUUUGUUAGCCGCUCUAUUAUGGUUUUUGUACAAUGUAAUUUUGUAAACAAUAAAUAUUUAAAAUA